AAGAUUAUACUUCACAGGAUCAUUUCUGUAGUAUGAUUGACAAGUUUCCUGUCUGAAACUUGAAACCUUACUGAUCCAUGAUGAUGAGACACAUGGCAUGUUCAGAGGGUGAUUAAGUUACUUUUUCGCCCUGUUGUAGGGCGAUAAAGUAACUUUUUCGCCCUGUUGUAGGGCGAUAAAGUAACUUUUUCGCCCUGUUGUAGGGC